rnacentral:lncRNA from 1 species
UGUAUGAGUACCCAAGAUCUAUCCAGCGAAUAACCGAUGUGGGACUAAACAAACGCCCGCACGAGUCCUCACACGCACUUAUUAUCUGAUUUGAUGCCCAUCCAUAUUUGCUUCGAGCCUAGUGAAACCAAAUUGGACCGGUAUCCUUAGGACCUCAAGAAUGACCACUUCACUCGACUGCAUCUUGGGCAAGAUAUUAAGUGGCGGACUAAACUUUAUCAUGAUAUUUGAUACAUAAUAUGUUGCUUUUUGUGAGCAUGAUAUGAGAGGUAUUUACCAAAUUGGUUAUUUGUUAGUUCUAUUUGAUUGGAACUAUAGUGCAUUGCAAUGUUGGGGAACUUUAUUGGUAAUAGCAAAAAUUUGACAUUAGAUGUUGUUUGCCAAAACUAGCUCAUAUAUACAGACAUGCAAGCUGUCAAAACAUAAAAGUGAAAUGGUUCUGAAAGACACCAUGGAGCAUACAUUACAAGAAUGAUAAAGUGCUUAUGAAGUACCCUGAGAUUGCGGAAAUGGAGAAGAUGCCUAAAAUGUUGUUAACUGAAAUGUGCUAUGAGUACUGACUUAGGAAAGAAAUUUGACUGCAAGUACAGAAGUAAACAGAGCACUCCAGAGAUGCUAGGAUUUGCGUCAUUUUUUUCCCAGUUCAAGUAUGGAAGGUUAUGGAAGAAAUUAUGUUAAGUUGGA